UACGUAGGGUGCAAGCGUUGUCCGGAAUUAUUGGGCGUAAAGGGCUCGUAGGCGGUCCGUCACGUCGGGAGUGAAAACUUGGGGCUUAACCCCAAGCCUGCUUCCGAUACGGGCGGACUAGAGGUAGGCAGGGGAGAACGGAAUUCCUGGUGUAGCGGUGAAAUGCGCAGAUACCAGGAGGAACACCGGUGGCGAAGGCGGGUCUCUGGGCCGAUACUGACGCUGAGGAGCGAAAGCGUGGGGAGCGAACAGG
rnacentral:rRNA from 1 species